UACGGAGGAUCCAAGCGUUAUCCGGAAUUACUGGGCGUAAAGAGUUGCGUAGGUGGCAUAGUAAGUAGAUAGUGAAAGCGUGUGGCUCAACCAUAUACACAUUAUCUAAACUGCUAAGCUUGAGGAUGAGAGAGGUUAUUGGAAUUCCCAGUGUAGGAGUGAAAUCCGUAGAUAUUGGGAGGAACACCGAUGGCGUAGGCAGAUAACUGGCUCAUUCCUGACACUAAGGCACGAAAGCGUGGGGAGCAAACGGG
rnacentral:rRNA from 1 species